UCCCUGGAGGACUAGUGGUUAGGCCACAGCACUCUCACCGCUGCAGCCUGGGUUCAAUUCCCAGCCAGUGAC
rnacentral:tRNA from 1 species